GAUGAACGCUGGCGGCGUGCCUAAUACAUGCAAGUCGAGCGAACGGACGAGAAGCUUGCUUCUCUGAUGUUAGCGGCGGACGGGUGAGUAGCACGUGGAUAACCUACCUAUAAGACUGGGAUAACUUCGGGAAACCGUAGCUAAUACCGGAUAAUAUUUUGAACCGCAUGGUUCAAAAGUGAAAGACGGUCUUGCUGUCACUUAUAGAUGGAUCCGCGCUGCAUUAGCUAGUUGGUAAGGUAACGGCUUACCGAGGCAACGAUGCAUAGCCGACCUGAGAGGGUGAUCGGCCACACUGGAACUGAGACACGGUCCAGACUCCUACGGGAGGCAGCAGUAGGGAAUCUUCCGCAAUGGGCGAAAGCCUGACGGAGCAACGCCGCGUGAGUGAUGAAGGUCUUCGGAUCGUAAAACUCUGUUAUUAGGGAAGAACAUAUGUGUAAGUAACUGUGCACAUCUUGACGGUACCUAAUCAGAAAGCCACGGCUAACUACGUG
rnacentral:rRNA from 1 species